CUGGCCUGCCGCAGCCCCCUCUCACAGGGAGUGGGGCAAUCCGCCCCACUACAGGGAGGCUGGGCUUCCUAGGUCAAAUCUGUGUAGCCAAAAUGCAACAUUUUACAGAAGCAGUAUUGUUUGCAACACACAGACCACUGAUUCAGUGAGUUAAAACAUAGCCACUAUUCACAUACCUGUCCCUAACUGGCUGACUCCAGGCAAGCAUACAUGAGCCAAAAGACCCUCAAAAUGGGGGAGUGAUUAGUCGUUAAAUGCUGACAAUAUGGUCAACUCAGAACAAGACAAAAUGAAGAUAGGCCAUGCGCCAAAGAGUUUACGAUCAUCAGCCUUGAUCCUCAGUGGGGCUGAGAUUCUUCAAAUUCAAGUGAAGCCACCAGCUCUAAUUACAAUUUGUCAAUCACUAUGCAUCAAGGUUUCCCAGGAGGCGCAAGUAGUCAAGAAAGACCAUCUUGUGGUGCAGCAGGAGUAUUUCUGCUUCAUGCGAGCAGGAUUCAUGGACCCGGUCUGGUGAGUGAGAUACAUUGAAUUUCAGCAGUCAGGUGGGAGGAGACAGUCUGUUGGAAGACAGGACCAUCAAGACAGCAAGGGAAGGAGAUGGCAGGAAGUAGAACAAUUUGCCUUUCAGCAAACAAGUGGGGGAAGAAACAGCAUGGAGCUUUCUUCACCACCAGACUCCAUGUCUCCUUCCUCAUGGUUUGAAUAAACUUGACUUUAAGGGAUAAACCUCAGAAGAAUCCAUUUCAAUGGUUUAUUGGUCUGUGAAGACAGGGGCUGAACCUCAAGUGAUAAGCAAUUGAAUCAAAUGAUCGUAUACAAUAUUGCUGUUUUAUAAGAAUGCAUAAGUGAGGUGUGUUUUUUUUCUGAAAGCUAAUGACAACUGGUAAUUAAUAUAGUGAAAUGUAUGGAUUAACAUUCUAUAAUGAAUUCUGGAUACUCAUUGAUAUUAGGAUGUACAGUCUGCCCAGACAGGAGGAAAUGUCAUUGCUAUCUUCUUGUCUUCUAUGUAAAAUAAGCAUAGUGAAAUCAGGAAAAAACUGGAAGCCUCAUUUACAUAGAAAUCAUACAGGAGGAUGGGAAACCCACAAGAAGGGAAGAAAUGUGUGAGGCCAUUCUGCCUCUUAUAACAAGUUAAUUGAACUUUGGAAGAUAUAUACUAGGACAGAAGCCAUCUUUGGCAUCCUUCAGUAGACAGACAAAAGGUACAGAGCACUUGCCUUCAGUUCCCAGAGACAUCAACCCCUCCUGGGUUGAAUAUAGGUGAGAGACCUGCUUAGGCAAAGAUUUUACCUUACUAGAUUAAGUUUUAGAAUUUUAGAAGUGUAUUUUGUUUUGUUGUAACUCUUUCUAUCUUCAUUCCUUAUA